rnacentral:rRNA from 1 species
AAUGAACGUUGGCGGCGUGGAUUAGGCAUGCAAGUCGGUCGGGGAGCAAUCCCCGAGGCGCAAGGGUGAGUAAGGCGACGGUAACCCACCCCAGGGCCGGGCAUAACCGCGGGAAACUGCGGAUAAUUCCCGGCGACGUCACGCGUCGGCAUCGGCGUGUGACCAAAGGUGCGAUUCCGCCCUGGGACGGGCCGUUGUGGUAUCAGGUCGUUGGCGGGGUAACGGCCCACCAAGCCUGGGACGCCUACCGGGCGUGCGAGCGUGGCCCGGCACACUGGGACUGAGACACUGCCCAGACACCUACGGGUGGCUGCAGUCGAGAAUCUUCGGCAAUGGGCGCCAGCCUGACCGAGCGACGCCGCGUGGAGGACGAAGGCCUUCGGGUUGUAAACUCCUGUCGAGGGGGAACAAGGGCGGUGGAGAGCCGUCUUGAGUGAUCCCUGGAGGAAGCACGGGCUAAGUUCGUG